GCAGGUGUGUCGGAAUCGGCAGACGAGGCAGACUCAAAAUCUGUUGCCCGCGAGGGCGUAUGGGUUCAAGUCCCAUCACCUGCA
rnacentral:tRNA from 1 species